UAACAAGCCACAUGAGUUGGAUGAUGCAGUGCUUAGGAGAUUGGAUAUUCAGGAAGCGAUCUUCAAGCACUAUGUGAAGAAGCUGCGAUGAUGCCAAUCAGAGAAUCUCGGUGCAGAUAUUCUUACCAUCCAAGCAAAUAAAGUGAGACCGCUACAUCUGAUGAUUUGGUGAUUGGCAUUUAUCUCAUCUCAAAUUCAUAAGUAAGU